GCCAGGCGUGGUGGCACACGCCUGUAGUCCCAGCUACUUGGGAGGCUGAGACAAGAGAAUCGCUUGAACCCAGGAGGUGGAAGUUGCAGUGAGCCAAGAUGGCACCACUGUACUCCAGCCUGGGUAACAGAGUGAAACCCUGUCUCAA
ensembl:misc_RNA Metazoa_SRP Metazoan signal recognition particle RNA